rnacentral:rRNA from 1 species
CAAUAGCGUAUAUUAAAGCUGUUGCGGUUAAAAAGCUCGUAGUUGGAUUUCUGUCAAGGACAACUGGUCCGCCCCUCGGGUGAGCACAUAGUUUGGUCUUGGCAUCUUGUUGGAAACUGUUGCUGCACUUGGUUGUGUGGCGCAGUGUCCAGCACUUUCACUUUGAGGAAAUUGGAGUGUUUCAAGCAGGCACAUGCCUUUGGACACAGUAGCAUGGAAUAAUUAGAUUGGGCUUUUGCUCCAACUUGUCGGUUUCUGGGGCUGAGGUGAGAAUUAAUGGGGAUUGUUGGGGGCAUCCGAAUUUAGCCGUCAGAGGUGAAAUUCUUGGAUCUGCUAAAGACGGACAACUGCGAAAGCGUUUGCCCAGGAUGUUUUCAUUGA